UUAAUCUUUUUCUUUUGAAAUUUUAUACUAGAAAGUUGCUUGUUACUUUCUAAGGAUAAAGCUCAGGAGUUGGAAGGAAAGUUAUCAGAAAUGAGAGCCUGGAGAAUUAGUGUGGACGCAAACAUUAUUUGGUCGACGACAACUGACUGUAUAAGGAAGGCGGCGAGAGAUGUGUUGGGGUUAUCUUCUGGCCGCGUCGGUGGCCAUAAAGGAGACUGGUGGUGGAAUGCAAUUGUCCAAGGUAAAGUGGAAGCUAAGAAGGCAGCUUACCUAAGGUUAUUUUUAAAUAAAAAUAAGUUUAAGUUUUUUUCUUUAUCAGAAAUGGGAGCCCGGAGAAGUAGUGGGGACGCAAACACUAUGUGGUCGACGACAGUUGAUUGUAUAAGGAAGCGGCGAGAGAUGUGUUGGGGUUAUCUUCUGGCCGUGUCGGUGGCCAUAAAAGAGACUGGUGGUGGAAUACAAUUGUCCAAGGUAAAGUGGAAGCAAGGAAGGCAGCUUACCUAAGGUUAGUAGGGAGCACUGGUGAGGAGGAGAAGAGAGCGAACAAGGAGAGAUAUAAGGUAGCUAGGAAGGAGGCGAAGAUGUCAGUAACGGAGGCUAAGACGACAACUUUUGCUCGUUUGUAUGAGGAGCUAGGUGACAAAGGCGGGGAGAAAAAGUUAUUCCGACUCGCUAAGCUGAGAGAGAGGGCGGCUCGGGAUCUGGACAAGGUGAGGUGC
rnacentral:lncRNA from 1 species